rnacentral:rRNA from 1 species
GUAGUAGCAAAUAUUCAAAUGAGAACUUUGAAGACUGAAGUGGAGAAAGGUUCCACGUGAACAGCAAUUGGACGUGGGUUAGUCGAUCCUAAGAGAUAGGAGAAAUCCGUUGCAAGGCGGGCGUUUCGGCGCCCCUUCUAUCGAAAGGGAAUCGGGUUAAUAUUCCCGAACCGGAACACGGAUAUU